rnacentral:rRNA from 1 species
AUUUGUGGAUGUACCUCCUUGACGAUGCCUGAUCUCGUCUGACUCAGACGCUAAGCGGGGUUGGUCCUGGUUAGUACUUGGAUUGGACCACAAUGUCACAGUGGGGGAGCAGCGGCUCUAGUGCGAACU